CCCUUAGAUGUUCUGGGCCGCACGCGCGCUACACUGAUGCAUUCAACGAGUCUAAAACCUGGUCUGAUAGGGCUGGGUAAUCUUUUGAAAGUGCAUCGUGAUUGGGAUAGAUGAUUGCAAUUCUUCAUCUUCAACGAGGAGUGCCUAGUAAACGCAAGUCAUCAGCUUGCAUUGAUUACGUCCCUGCCCUUUGUACACACCGCCCGUCGCUCCUACCGAUUGAAUGAUCCGAUGAAUACCAUGGAUUGAGAGUACGAAUGGGUUCGCUCAUUUCUGCUGCUCGAGAAGUGGAGUAAAUCUUAUCAUUUAGAGGAAGGAGAAGUCGUAACA
rnacentral:rRNA from 1 species